GACGUAGGGCGCGAGCGUUGUCCGGAUUUAUUGGGCGUAAAGAGCUCGUAGGCGGCUUGUCGCGUCGUCCGUGAAAACCCACAGCUCAACUGCGGGCUUGCGGUCGAUACGGGCAGGCUAGAGUUCGGUAGGGGAGACUGGAAUUCCUGGUGUAGCGGUGAAAUGCGCAGAUAUCAGGAGGAACACCGGUGGCGAAGGCGGGUCUCUGGGCCGAUACUGACGCUGAGGAGCGAAAGCGUGGGGAGCGAACAGG
rnacentral:rRNA from 1 species